AAGUGUUCACUGCGUUCUUCUUCUCGAUUUAUCUUUCUUGGUUUCUUGAUCUGUAGCUUAUUAGCGGCCAUGUGCGGCGGAGCAAUCAUCUCCGGGUUCAUCCCGCCGUCGGCCGCUGCGGCGGCGGCGGCUGCGGUGGCCAAGAAGCAGCAGGGCAGGAGGGUCACGGCCGACGUGCUGUGGCCGGGGAUGCUGCGGAAGGGGAAGGCGGCGGCGGCGGAGGAGGACUUUGAGGCCGACUUCCGCGAGUUCGAGCGUGGCAUGAGCGACGACGAGGCGGAGGGGGGCGGCGGCGAGGAGGAGG
rnacentral:misc_RNA from 1 species